rnacentral:rRNA from 1 species
GACGAACGCUGGCGGCGUGCUUAACACAUGCAAGUCGAACGGAAAGGCCCUGCUUUUGUGGGGUGCUCGAGUGGCGAACGGGUGAGUAACACGUGAGUAACCUGCCCUUGACUUUGGGAUAACUUCAGGAAACUGGGGCUAAUACCGGAUAGGAGCUCCUGCUGCAUGGUGGGGGUUGGAAAGUUUCGGCGGUUGGGGAUGGACUCGCGGCUUAUCAGCUUGUUGGUGGGGUAGUGGCUUACCAAGGCUUUGACGGGUAGCCGGCCUGAGAGGGUGACCGGCCACAUUGGGACUGAGAUACGGCCCAGACUCCUACGGGAGGCAGCAGUGGGGAAUAUUGCACAAUGGGCGGAAGCCUGAUGCAGCAACGCCGCGUGCGGGAUGACGGCCUUCGGGUUGUAAACCGCUUUCGCCUGUGACGAAGCGUGAGUGACGGUAAUGGGUAAAGAAGCACCGGCUAACUACGUGCCAGCAGCCGCGGUGAUACGUAGGGUGCGAGCGUUGUCCGGAUUUAUUGGGCGUAAAGGGCUCGUAGGUGGUUGAUCGCGUCGGAAGUGUAAUCUUGGGGCUUAACCCUGAGCGUGCUUUCGAUACGGGUUGACUUGAGGAAGGUAGGGGAGAAUGGAAUUCCUGGUGGAGCGGUGGAAUGCGCAGAUAUCAGGAGGAACACCAGUGGCGAAGGCGGUUCUCUGGGCCUUUCCUGACGCUGAGGAGCGAAAGCGUGGGGAGCGAACAGGCUUAGAUACCCUGGUAGUCCACGCUGUAAACGGUGGGUACUAGGUGUGGGGUCCAUUCCACGGGUUCCGUGCCGUAGCUAACGCUUUAAGUACCCCGCCUGGGGAGUACGGCCGCAAGGCUAAAACUCAAAGGAAUUGACGGGGCCCCGCACAAGCGGCGGAGCAUGCGGAUUAAUUCGAUGCAACGCGUAGAACCUUACCUGGGUUUGACAUGGAUCGGGAGUGCUCAGAGAUGGGUGUGCCUCUUUUGGGGUCGGUUCACAGGUGGUGCAUGGCUGUCGUCAGCUCGUGUCGUGAGAUGUUGGGUUAAGUCCCGCAACGAGCGCAACCCUUGUUCACUGUUGCCAGCACGUUAUGGUGGGGACUCAGUGGAGACCGCCGGGGUCAACUCGGAGGAGGGUGGGGAUGACGUCAAGUCAUCAUGCCCCUUAUGUCCAGGGCUUCACGCAUGCUACAAUGGCUGGUACAGAGAGUGGCGAGCCUGUGAGGGUGAGCGAAUCUCGGAAAGCCGGUCUCAGUUCGGAUUGGGGUCUGCAACUCGACCUCACGAAGUCGGAGUCGCUAGUAAUCGCAGAUCAGCAACGCUGCGGUGAAUACGUUCCCGGGGCU